rnacentral:rRNA from 1 species
GACGAACGCUGGCGGCGUGCCUAACACAUGCAAGUAGAACAGUUGCGAACGGGAGAGUAACGCGUUGGGUACUGACUCAUCGCGGGGGAUAAGUAUUGGAAACGAUAGCUACUACCGCACAAUGUGAGAUGGACCUGCGUUGUAUUAGCUAGUUGGUGAGGUAAAGGCUCACCAAGGCGACGAUACAUAGCCGACCUGAGAGGGUGAUCGGCCAGACUGGGACUGAGACACGGCCCAGACUCCUACGGGAGGCAGCAGUAGGGGAUCUUCGGCAAUGGACGAAAGUCUGACCGAGCAACGCCGCGUGAGUGAUGAAGGUUUUCGGAUCGUAAGGCUCGGUAGUUAGAGUAGCGGUAACUAGCCAGAAAUUGACGGCGAACUACGUGCCAGCAGCCGCGGUAAUAC